rnacentral:ncRNA from 1 species
UGGGCAGUAUCUGCAAAGAACUGUACCUGUUAGGAAGAAAAAUUCGAUAAAUUUCUGCCUUGAUCCUAAGGGACUUGGACAGAGGG